AAAAAAAAGUUUUUUGUUUGGGCGUUAGAAAGAAGGGUGAAUUAGGUGAAUAACCAAUCUACAUAAAGUUAUUAAAUAUCUAACACUAUAAUAUACAUAAUUUAUUGAGUAGCACAUGUGAGGUGUGAAAAUACAACACACUCUUUCCUUCACCUUCUUCCCGGUUCUUGUCUUCUCCUCAAUCCAAGAAUUUUUUCCAGA
rnacentral:sRNA from 1 species